UUCACCCUAGCCAUCCUUCCCUUCUCCUCUCCUCCUUUCUUUUCAUUUUUUUCUUUCUUCUUUCUUGUUGUCGCCCAAACCCUAGCACCACCAUCUCUUUUUCCUUUAUUUUUCCACAAGAUCUUGCUCCAUCUUCUCCUCAAUCUUGCUUCCAUUCUUCCCUUAAUUUUCCAGCCCCAAAUCUGAAAUUUUGGAUUUCCAAAAAUGGUUCUCAUUAUUGCCAAGAAAUGUCAUUGUGCCCCUAUCACCUAGUUUGUGUAAGUUCUUCUUUUCUCUAAAUUUCUUAAUUAAUCUUGUGAGUUAAAACCCCAAACUUUUAGAUCUGAAAUUUGAGAUAUUUUUAGAUAUUUAAAGAUAAUUUUUCUAGAUUUUUAAAUGAUCUUAAAUGUGGUUUUAAAUUAGCCCCAAUUCAGCCACCGUUGGUGGUGGUGUGCGCGCCUAAGGGGUCAAGAAAGGGGUUUUUGUUUCUUUAUUUUCUUCCAUUUAUUUCCAGAAAAUUCUUGGGUCCUUCAACCAUUCCUAAUUAGCCUUUAAUCGUGUAUAAUUAGGAAAAAAAUAAUCUUGAUCAAUCGGCGACUCAGGUCUGACAAUUCAGGAAGCGUAAGUGUGGUUGAUUAUGGACUAGAGUGCAGUUUUGGUUUAGAUGUUUGGGAAAUUUUUAAUUUUUAAUUGAUUAAAAUAAAAAUUUUAACCAUGGAUUACUUACUUAUUUUUCAGUAUUUAAAUGUGUUAGGUGCCGACUUAAACGCCCCGAAUCAACAAUGAAUUCGAAAGACGUUCGCGUGUACGGUUCGCAUCAAACCAGUGUAAGAAACCUAACUAGUUCGGAUCUGAAAAAUACUUAUAAUUGUAAUGGUUGGAUGGACCCCAUAAAUGGGUGUUUGGGGGUUGUUUAAUAGGCAUAUUGAUUGAGUUUAAUACUGAAUUUUAAUUUAGGAUAAUUUUAAAGCUUAUUAGAGAAACCACAAAAUUUACAAGUGUGCUACGGAAGAGCGUAAAAAAGGUAUAGGUCCGAACUCAAAAAUUUGAAUGUUAAUAAUGAUUUUAAUGAUAUAAUUGAUGAUUUAGCUUUCUGAUCGGGCUUGGCUAAAUAGCUAAGUAAUUAAAUUUGUAACUUGGUGAACCAAGUACUUUUCGAGUCCUACCUAUUUGGCUUAUUAGCAAAGUUGCUAGUUUGACUGAAUGAUUGCAUGAUUGAAAUUGUUGUGAAAGGUUAGUUAAUUUGAUGUAUGAUUGGUUGUAUGUAUAGCAUGAUUCUGAAUAAAAAUAAGGCUUAUGCAUGAUAUAUUCAUAUGGAUAAUUUGCUAUGAAAUGUUUGAAAGUUUGCUAUACAUGUACACAGAAAAGUUUUGUAAGAAUACAUGAAAAUUUGAUAAAUUGAGGGCAAGUUUGUAACAGCUCAAUUUAGGGCUUAGUCAGAACAGUAGUUUCGGGACCACAAAUUUGACUAGGAAAAAUAUUAUUAUUAUUAUAUUUUUAUGGUUUAUGAUUUCAUGGAAAAUUUUCGUAAAAAUUUCGUUCGAAAAUUUUGACGUUUGAGCACUCAAUUUAGUCAAAAGAUCUAAAUUGUAAAAAGUGCAAAAGUUGAGUUUUAAGAAAUGGCAUUUUAGUCAUUUGGUAAAUAAAUAGAAUUAAAUGGGAAAAAGAUGGAAUGGGAAAAAGAUGGCAAAAUAUGCCCAUCUUCUCCAUAGUUGCUGCCGAAUUUUAGAAGACACCAUAGCUAGGGUUUCUUUGCUUUUUCAAGCUCAUAGUAAGUGCAUCCUAGCCCCGUUUUUAAUGUUUUUUUGCAUUUUUGAGAUUCUCGUAGCUCGGUUUAUCUAUUUUUACUGUUAAUUCGAGCUAGGGUUGAAAUUUGAAAAAUUACCCAUGUGUGAAAUUUGUGUUUUUUGAUGUUUUAUAGAAGAAUAUGAAGUUAGAAAUUAUGUUAAAUAAUUUUUGCUAGUCGAUUUUAAGUGAAACCGAUUAAAAUAACAUAAUCGGUAAAAAUACCUAAAGCUCAUAAGUAAUAGUUAGAGUGAGAAUUUGAUGUUGCUAUAAGAAGGAAAAGUGUUUAGCAUGUGACAAAACAUUAGAAUAAAGAAUAAAAUUUAAUUUUCGAACUUUGGGGCAAAAAUGUAAUUAUGCAAAAGUUUAGGGACAAAAUCAUAAUUUUGUCAAAAGUUGAGUCGAAGCUUGUUUUAAUAAAUGUGAAUGUUAAAAAAGCUCAAUUUGCUGUUAUAGAUCAAGAAAGACGAGAAGUCAACCUUAAUCGAGGAAAAGAGAAGAUUGGGGAUUAAAUUGCAAAAUCUCUACAUUUUGUAUCGAGGUAAGUUGUAUGUAAUUAAUACAUUGUUAUAAUUAUUUUUUUAUAUUUCACGACAAUAUAUGUGAAAGGGUUGAAUAUGAAAUAGUUAUAUAAAAGUUAGAAAUUUGAAAUUGAUAGUUGAUUUGUUUAAAAUCAGCUUGGUUUAUGGAUAUACCAACUACAAGUAAUGGUUGAAGUGAUUCAAAUCGAAUUAUUAAAUUGGUUAUGGAUUUGAGAGGAAAUAUUGAUAUUAUGAUGUAUUAUGGAGAAAUUGUAAAUUAUUGGGGAGUAAGAAUCUUUGGGGAACUGUCGGAAUGGUAAAGAUUUGAAUAAAGUAUCGAUGAACAUGUGUGUAGUACUAUGUGAAGGCUACUACGUGGACCGUAAAACUUGAUCACGUGUGUAGUACUAUGUGAAGGCUACUAAGUGUAUCGAAUGAUAAUAGUAACAUGGGUGGUACUAUGUGAAAACCCCCAAAUAUUUGUUGUUAUACCGACAUGUUCAACGAGAUAUGGGUAUGUGAUUGAAAUGUGAUAAGUUGCGAAAGAGUGACUGAAGUGAUGAAGUCUUGUAUUGUGUUAUAAAAUAAAUGGUUAUAGUGCUAUGUGAAUGAGAGAUGUUGGAAUAGAAUAGAUUUGGACAGUGACAGUGAUGUUAGUUUGAAAAAUCACCAAAAAUUAUAGGAAUUGAGUUAGUGGUUGAAUAAGACAUGGCAUUAAAGCUUAAUAAGAUAUUGGAAUUUUAGUGAGACAAGGUCUAAAUGAUUUCGAAAUCCUCUGUUCUAAUUUUGGAAAAUCACUAAAAAUUGUAAAAAAUUAAUUAUGUUUUGUAAUUUACAUUAUUAAAUUUCUUAUUGAGUCUAUUUUCAAAAAAAAUAAGUGGGAACAUCAUUUGAAUUCUGUACUAAGAGAUAACUGACUUUUAGUGAAGAGAGGUCAGAAAUGUCAAGCAGUGAAACAGGGGAACAUUUAGAGAAUAAACUUUACUAAUUGGCUAAACCAAAAAUUUUAAAACUUUUAUGGUAAGAAGGUAUAUGAAUCUACUUUAAGGGAAAAUUUACGGAUAUUAAUUUGGAGUUCUGUAGCUCCGGAUAGAAAUAAUUUAGUGACUGUGAUGCAGAAAAAAAUAGUUUGCUGGAAAUUGAAUAAAUAAUAGAUUUAUGUGUGAUAAAAUUUAUAUUAUCUAUGGUAUCAUGCUAGAAAUUUAUUUAUCAAUUACAUACAUACUUAUUAAGCUAUAUUCUUACUCCUCUUCAUUUUCCCUUGUUUUAUAGUGACAUCAAUCAGCUCGGAAAUUGGACGAAGUCAGAACAUCAUCCACAUUAUCAUCAUCAUCUUUUGGGUAUUUUGCAACCAAUACUUUUGAAAUAUGGCAUGUAUAGAUGACUUAAUGUAAUGUGGUAUAUAUAUAUAAUAUUGUUUGGUUUAAA
rnacentral:lncRNA from 1 species